GACGAACGCUGGCGGCGUGCUUAACACAUGCAAGUCGAACGGGAUCCGGGCUUUCGGGUUUGGUGAGAGUGGCGAACGGGUGAGUAACACGUGAGUAACCUGCCCCCUUCUUUGGGAUAACGUCGGGAAAUCGGCGCUAAUACUGGAUAUUCUUGCUGCAUCGCCUGGUGUGGUUUGGAAAGGGUUUCUGGUGGGGGAUGGGCUCGCGGCCUAUCAGCUUGUUGGUGGGGUGAUGGCCUACCAAGGCUUUGACGGGUAGCCGGCCUGGGAGGGGGUCCGGCCACACUGGGACUGAGACACGGCCCAGACGCCUACGGGAGGCAGCAGUGGGGAAUAUUGCACAAUGGGCGCAAGCCUGAUGCAGCGACGCCGCGUGAGGGAUGACGGCCUUCGGGUUGUAAACCUCUUUCAGUAUGGAACAAGGAUCCUUCUUUUGGGGGGUUUGAGGGUACGUGCAGAAGAAGCGCCGGCUAACUACGUG
rnacentral:rRNA from 1 species